GGGUUUGUAAACCCUAGCUGCGCCGCCUGCAUUUUCCAUUUCUCUCAUUUUCACCCUCACCAUUUUUGGCAGGGUCAAGGCUGUACAAUGCUUGUAACAGUCUAUGCGUGGCCAUUUGUGGCAAAACAUUAAUUUCAUCUUCUCUCUCCGUCGUUAUACAACCGCGAAGAGGGUUGAGGAGAAAGGAUUUUCAAAUUUCAAUCUCGACACUAGGCUGCACGAAAAAAAGAGUACGUGGCUAGAUUGGCUUCUUCUCCUCGAGACUGACUCCCGAGGAAUCGCUGUCGAGCAUCUCGGGUGAGCACAUGGCCAUAUCCGCAGCCCGGAUGACUCCUCUCAGUUUACUCGUCUUAUUCGCUACUUCAGAGACAAUAUUUCAUUUUGAUACUAUGUAUUCAGACUUUCAGUUGUGUAGUGGCUCUUGUUCGGCCUAGACCAGAUUUUGGGAUUGAUGUAAUAUUUCCACACUUAUUUACUUAUCUAUUUCAGACUUGUUAGAUA